AGUGUCUGAAAAAAGCAGUACUACUCGUCGGCCAGUAAAUCCUAACACAUCUGAUGAUGAUGACGCUGCGGAAGCAGGUCCAUCAAAAGAAGUAUGGAGCAGCAGAAGUGGCUCUUCUGUUAGACAUCACCACAAGAAACCUGUGGCCGAAAAGAAAGCAAGGUCGUCUGUCCCGCCACAAACACAGCAGGCUACCCCGCCACGAAGAUUAUCGUCCGUAUGUUCUGUCCCCCCACUCCAAAUUUUGGACACACCUCCAAGACGUCAUCCACACUCCCCUCAUCUUGAUUCUUCGAGUCCUGGGAACAGCAUCCCUCCGCAACAACACCAACACAGUGACAUGGAGGAGACAAACAUCUUAGAAAUGCAGCCAUUAAUGCAAGGAAUGAGCCCCCCAGCACCUGUGAGUACACCACCACAACAAAGCACACCACCACCACAACACAGCCCAACAACACCAGGAACACAAGGCCCUGAUCAGGUGUUUUGGACUAUUUGGGUUAGACAGCAGGCCACUAAUGAAGAUUGCCUGAGUAAGCAGACACAAAUGUUUGCAAGCCUACCAUCUCACCUCAGAAGAAGCUCAAGAAAUCUGAGUCGACAAAAUGAGCAAACAACCAGAAUAGGCAAUACCAUGGAACUCAUGCGUACAGACAUUACACAGGUCAUGGGCAACUUACAGUGAAUAAUGGAAGAACAGCACAGACUAAUGGAAGAACAGCACAGACUAAUUGAAGAACACCACAGACAACAGCAAAGUUAUAUGAGCAUUUUUCAAAACAGUCAAAAGAUUAAUGAAAGUUUAUUCAGAAUAGUAGAAAAUCAAAAUGCUGCUACACGUGAACUCAAUGCCACCCUCACUAACCUGAAUGAAACACUCAGAUGCAUGCACCAACAGCAAACAAGCAGCAGUUCUGGUACGACUACUCCAAAUAUGACGCCAGUCUCAUCACCACCAAGACGCUCCACCAGAGCACGCCAACAUGACAAUGCUAAAGGCAAAGGGCAGGACAAGCAGCCACCAAAAAAAACGUAACAAAAAAGAAGUUAGACAUUUGUGAUAAGUAAAGUUAGCAAGUGUUUUUGAUGCUUUACAAAAUAGCACACUUAACUCCUUGCCCCUUUUUUAACAUCAUUAAUUAUAAGUGCACCAAAUUAAUUGUAAAAAAUAUUAUGCACAUUUAUUCCUUGUCAUUUUUUUGGGGUAUUGGAGGAGGAAAAUGUUGAUGGAGCCACACAUACAUGUUAGCAGGAAGUAAACUGACCACUUGAUUUUUUUCUAAUCAUUACUUUUUCUAGAUUCCAAUCAUUCUCUUUGCCUGCAGACAAUCCAAAUGACAAUGUUAGUGAUACAUAUCUUAGCUAUCUUAUCUAUACAUUACAAGAUGAACACAAUUGAGUGGAGUAAAAAGCUAAUAUGUUGCCUUUGUUUUGUUUGAAAAACAUUGUCCAAAUUAAUGUCAGUAUUGUUGGGACAGGUUUGUGUGUGCUAAAAAAUUUUAAGCAUGUUUUUACACAUGAUGCUGAAACAAACAAAUAUGUACUUUAACAAAAAAACAAACAAAAACUGUUUAUAAUAAUGUAUAUG